rnacentral:rRNA from 1 species
AUCCUAGCCGGCAUGUAAGUCANCAACAUUGGUGCCGUGUGGUUUUAAAGAUCUCACACUGGCCGUCGUUUGACAGCCUAACACAUGCAAGUCGAACGGAGACAGGAGAGCUUGCUCUCUGGGUGGCGAGUGGCGGACGGGUGAGGAAUACAUCGGAAUCUACUCGUGGGGGAUAACGUAGGAAACUUACGCUAAUACCGCAUACGACCUACGGGUGAAAGCAGGGGAUCUUCGGACCUUGCGCGAUUGAAUGAGCCGAUGUCGGAUUAGCUAGUUGGCGGGGUAAAGGCCCACCAAGGGCGACGAUCCGUAGCUGGUCUGAGAGGAUGAUCAGCCACACUGGAACUGAGACACGGUCCAGACUCCUACGGGAGGCAAGCAGUGGGGAAUAUUUGGACAAUGGGCGCAAGCCUGAUCCAGCCAUACCGCGUGGGUGAAAGAAGGCCUNCGGGUUGAAAAGCCCCUAUNAGGAGGAGGAACAAGGAACUCCCAGCAUGGCUAAAUACCCGGUAGGGGAUAGACGGGAAACCCAAAAGGCAUACAGCCACCGGACUAAGCUUACGUAGNCCAGACAAGCCCGCGGUACAAUAACGGAAGNGGUGCAAAGCGAUACGUCGGACAUUUACUGGGCAGUACACA